rnacentral:lncRNA from 1 species
AUGGGUCCCACUCCUCUCCUGUUACCCACCGGCCUUGAUCUAGUUCUACAGCUAAGGGGCUCCAGGGGAAACCCUGCAGGCCUGGGGCUGAGAGAGGACGUGGGUCUGAGCCCCGCCCCCCCCCCCCCCCCCCUCCAUGCAGGAUCUGCCCCGAGCACAGGCCGGCUGUCCCAGAGGCGGGGGCAAAGGCAGUGGGGAGCGGGGGACCCCCCCCCAGCACAUUGGAUCUGGGUCCUACCCCAGGCCCAAAUGGCUGUGGCUGAAGAGGGUGCUGUCCCUCCCCCACCCCCUUGGUGUCGACUUCAGGAAAGCGGUUCCCCAGGCGCCAGGAGCUGCGGAGGAGGCCGGCCAGCCGGAAGGGGGACAAUUAAAUCCAGGGGAGAAAGAAGGACCUGUUGCGGGCAGGACGGCUCUGCUCUGCAAGCUCAUCACACAGACCAGAGACCAACGCUUAGGGAGCAGCUUGUGUGUCCCCUGGGACGAUCAGAAAAGGCCUCUUGAGGACUGAGCACCAGAAGAGUGGGGCUGAGCAUUUGGCAGAGGUCACAGCUUGUGCAAAGGCACUGGGGCGGGAAGGUGCUAGUAUCUUCAAGAAACAGGCAGAAGGUUAGCGAGGCAUGAAAGGAGCAGGGGCUGGUGGCAGGAAGGGCCUGGCAGCGCCCUCAGGCACCACCACCAGCCUGUCAGGAGGCAUUUAGACCUUGAUCCCGUCCCAACAGGCUUUAAGCCCUGUGGUUUACAAUCCCUUUUCGGAAUUGCGCACUGGUUGAUAGGUUAGACAUGGGGUCGGGGCAGGAGAGGGCUCAGCAGAAGCCCGGGUUUCUGGGCACCUGGGCUGACAUGGGUGCGUUGGGGCAGGGCAGGUAUGGUGGUGGGUGAUGUGGAUUAAGGCUGCCCCAGCUAGAGAAGCCCAAGGUGACCUGGCCUACAUGCCAAACUAUACGACCCAGUGGACUUUUUUUAUGGUAUGAAUUAGGGCUGCCCCAGGGAGAGAAGCCCAGGGCAUCCUCACCUACAUGCCGAACAAUAUGGCCAGAUUCGUAUCUAAAGUUAUAUGACUGCACAAUAACCAGACCCCAUCUGCACUGAAAUCAUUUAAUGACUUUUUACAUCAUCUUUUCUUUUCUCCAGUAAAAAUAAGUCACGUACCCAUGCCUUAUAAAAUUAGCCCUAUCUCUCAACUCAGGGCAGCAGCAGGAGCUCUGACUGCCCGUGGGUCCUGUCCCCA